UACCAGCACCCCGAGUGGUCGGGACGAUUAUUGGGCCUAAAGCAUCCGUAGCCGGUCAUGCAAGUCUUCCGUUAAAUCCAGCCGCUCAACGGUUGGGCUGCGGAGGAUACUACGUGGCUAGGAGGCGGGAGAGGCAAGCGGUACUCAGUGGGUAGGGGUAAAAUCCUUUGAUCCAUUGAAGACCACCAGUGGCGAAGGCGGCUUGCCAGAACGCGCUCGACGGUGAGGGAUGAAAGCUUGGGGAGCAAACCGG
rnacentral:rRNA from 1 species